UCACCAAUCCUUCAGAAGUGCACCGGCGACGUCCUUGUAACUGACCUUUUUCUUCUUUGGAGCACCAGCAGUUGGAUCUGGGGCUGGAACCCCGGUACUCUGCCUGUGGCACUGGAGCCACGUAACUGGAUGUGGAGCUUCCUACCCAAGAUAACGCCUCUCGGCAGGAGGGAGGCUGCAUAAACCAGUAUUUUCAUAAGUUUUCAAAUUUCCAGCUGUCAGUGUUUGAAGAAAGAAAUUCUUCUAUCAUAGAACAGACCAAAAAAAAAUUAAUAAAUAACCUCUUGUACAGCAUGUCAAAAUUGUAGGCUUGUAGAACUGAAACUAUAAUCAAAUGAGUAGCGGGAGCAAGAAUGCUGCACACUUGACCACCAUGCAUGGUAAGGUCCUGCUUCACUCUCUUGAGUGCAAGAUCAGAUAUUACAUUGUAGUCCGCAUUCCUCCAGAAAAGAAGAGCAUCAAUGAAUAAAGAAUCACAUUACAUGAAAGAUGAUAUUGACCGCAAAUAAAACUUACACCAAGGGUGCAUGAUAGAAGUAGACACAGCAACCCUGGAAGAAGCAGAAUCUCUCAUCUGCGCAAUACUUCUUUUUGUA
rnacentral:sRNA from 1 species